GACGAACGCUGGCGGCGUGCUUAACACAUGCAAGUCGAACGGAAAGGCCCUGCUUUUGUGGGGUGCUCGAGUGGCGAACGGGUGAGUAACACGUGAGUAACCUGCCCUUGACUUUGGGAUAACUUCAGGAAACUGGGGCUAAUACCGGAUAGGUGCUCCUGCUGCAUGGUGGGGGUUGGAAAGUUUCGGCGGUUGGGGAUGGACUCGCGGCUUAUCAGCUUGUUGGUGGGGUAGUGGCUUACCAAGGCUUUGACGGGUAGCCGGCCUGAGAGGGUGACCGGCCACAUGGGGACUGAGAUACGGCCCAGACUCCUACGGGAGGCAGCAGUGGGAAAUAUUGCACAAUGGGCGGAAGCCUGAUGCAGCAGCGCCGCGAGCGUGAUGACGGCCUUCUGGUGGUAAACCGCUUUCGCCUGUGACGAAGCGUUAGUGACGGUAAUGGGUAAAGAAGCACCGGCUAACUACGUG
rnacentral:rRNA from 1 species